CAGAAGGGUCUGCUGAACACUCUGGUGACAGAGAACUCACCCAACAUGUUCCAUGGCAGAGGCUUUUCAUUAGAUCAAGGCUGGAGUGCAGUGGUGCGAUCUCGGCUCACUGCAACCUCUGCCUCCCGGUUCAAGCGAUUCUCCUGCCUCAGCCUCCCAAGUAGCUGGGACUACAGGCGCCCGCCACCACGCUCGGCUAAUUUUUUGUAUUCUUAGUAGAGACGGGGUUUCACUGUGUUAGCCAGGAGGGUCUCGAUCUCCUGACCUCCUGAUCCGCCUGCCUCGGCCUCCCAAAGUGCUGAGAUUACAGGCGUGAGCCACCGCGCCUGGCCCCUUCAUGCGUUUUUACACGCUUCAUCCAACCAAUAGUUCAUGGAGGCCUUAGGUGUGUGUUUCCAAAUUUUCUAUGCUGAGUGUGUGUUCUUUGGAAAACCA
ensembl:lncRNA LINC00608 long intergenic non-protein coding RNA 608